rnacentral:rRNA from 1 species
AUUCUUUCGGGAGUACCCUAGUGGCGGACGGGUGAGUAACGCGUGAGCAACCUGCCCCGGAGUGUGGAAUAACCCCUGGAAACAGGAGCUAAUACCGCAUGAUAUAGUACCGUCGCAUGGCGGAACUAUCAAAGAUUUAUCGCUUCGGGAUGGGCUCGCGUCUGAUUAGAUAGUUGGUAGGGUAACGGCCUACCAAGCCGACGAUGUUUAGGGGUCCUGAGAGGGUUAUCCCCCACACUGGUACUGAGACACGGACCAGACUCCUACGGGAGGCAGCAGUGAGGAAUAUUGGUCAAUGGCCGCGAGGCUGAACCAGCCAUCCCGCGUGAAGGAAGACUGUUUUAUGAAUUGUAAACUUCUUUUCCGGAGGAAUAAAACUAUGUACGCGUACAUAUCUGAAGGUACUCUGGGAAUAAGCAUCGGCUAACUCCGUGCCAGCAGCCGCGGUAAUACGGAGGAUGCGAGCGUUAUCCGGAUUUAUUGGGUUUAAAGGGUGCGUAGGCUGGCUAAUAAGUCAGCGGUGAAAUCCUUUCGCUUAACGAAAGAAUUGC